rnacentral:rRNA from 1 species
AAAGCAGGUCAUAGUGAUCCGGUGGUUCUGAAUGGAAGGGCCAUCGCUCAACGGAUAAAAGGUACUCCGGGGAUAACAGGCUGAUACCGCCCAAGAGUUCAUAUCGACGGCGGUGUUUGGCACCUCGAUGUCGGCUCAUCACAUCCUGGGGCUGAAGUAGGUCCCAAGGGUAUGGCUGUUCGCCAUUUAAAGUGGUACGCGAGCUGGGUUUAGAACGUCGUGAGACAGUUCGGUCCCUAUCUGCCGUGGGCGCUGGAGAACUGAGGGGGGCUGCUCCUAGUACGAGAGGACCGGAGUGGACGCAUCACUGGUGUUCGGGUUGUCAUGCCAAUGGCACUGCCCGGUAGCUAAAUGCGGAAGAGAUAAGUGCUGAAAGCAUCUAAGCACGAAACUUGCCCCGAGAUGAGUUCUCCCUGACUCCUUGAGAGUCCUGAAGGAACGUUGAAGACGACGACGUUGAUAGGCCGGGUGUGUAAGCGCAGCGAUGCGUUGAGCUAACCGGUACUAAUGAACCGUGAGGCUUAACCUUACAACGCCGAAGCUGUU